rnacentral:rRNA from 1 species
AUGGUGAUGGUCAAGCUCGCUGUGGCUGGAUGGUUCGUGUCUGUCUGCCUUUCCAAGCUCGCCGACCCUGUGAUACAGUAUGCAAAGGACCGGUACAAGGACCAGAAGAAUUUCGUGACCAACACCGAAAAGCUCAAGUGGCGCCUUGAGCAGAUUUCAGAAGCAAUCAGCCGGGCCAGGGAAAGGGAAGUUGAUGAUUCCAAAUUGCAAUCGUGGAUCCAGAGACUCAGAGAUGCGGUUUUCACAGCAGAAGAUGUUCUUGAUUCCAUCAAGUAUGCAAUGUUGAAGCACCAGGUAACGACUGAACACAAGCAUAUAUUUUCUCCUAGAAAAGAUGCUUCUGAUUCCAUUUCCCAAGACAAAAAUGACGCUGAUAAUUUGACGAAAGUCAUUAAAAAGCUUGACAACGUUUCUGCGGAGAUGAGAAGCUUGUGGUUCUUGCGUGGGCAAGAUGCUACACAAGGAUUGGUGCCUGAUCAAGCUCCUGACUGGCGGGAGACCACUGCAUCCGACACACAACCAAAGCUGGUUGGUCGGCAGAAAGAAGCAAAUGAUCUCAUGACCUUAUUACUUGAGCUUGAACAAUGUAAGGAGAAAAUCUCACAUAUUUCUGUUGUCGGAAUGGGUGGUGUUGGGAAGACAGCUCUCGUCCGGGAAGCUUACAAUGAUAACAGAACAGACUGCUUUGGGGUGAAGGCCUGGAUCUGUGUAUCACAUAGAGCCAGCAUCACAAGGGUGUUGAUUGAUGCAACCAAUGCUGCUUCUAAAAAAUUACUGCUUUAUCGCCAUCCUGCGCCCGACAAGGGCACUAUCAAGAGUAUGCUGGCAGAUGUUUUGAAAGAUAAGAGAUUUCUCAUAGUCCUGGAUGACAUAUGGGAUUGGGAUUUGUCAAGAAACAUACUGGAUGCGUUCAAUAUGCCAUUUAGCCAAGCACGUGAAGGAAGUAAAGUCAUAGUCACUACUCGAGACCCGAGCAUAGGAGAAGGAAUGAGUACAGAAGGGCUAAUUCAUGUUCACGGCUUAGAGUUCAAACAUUAUUGGCCACUGUUCAAAGAACUUGCAUUUCAUAACAAAGACCCGGAAGAUUAUCCAGAACUCUUAUCCAUAGGCAAAAACAUAGCCAAAAGGCUAAAUGGCUUGCCACAGGCAGCGGAGACAUUUUGUCAGGCGUUACGGUCAGACUUCAAGGAGACCCACUGGAGGGGUAUUUCGAAAAGGAAAAUGUGUCAAAUGGGAGCAGAGAAGUGUGGCAUCAUGGCCACACUGAGAUUAAGCCAUGAACAGCUGCCAAGAGACCUCAAGGAAUGUUUUGUUUCUUGUUCUCUCUUCCCAAAAGGGUAUGCCUUUCAAAAAGAAGAAGUUAUCCGUGUAUGGAUGGCUCUUGGAUAUCUUGAUGGCCCUGGAGCUGGAGUGCAAAGAAUGAAAGAUAUAGGGAAAAGUAUUUUUACUCAGUUGCUGAAGAGAUCCUUCUUCAAGGAAAAUAAUGAGGCACCAGGAACAUACAUCAUACCUGAACCAUUGGAUGAACUUGCUGAAUUCUUAUCUUCUGGUGAGUACUUCCGGAUCGAAAAAAGAAGCGAAUUUGAUGAUGGACCAAUAGAUAUCCCAGAGAGGGCCGGCCAUGUUUACCUUGAUAUCAAUGAUCUGGCAAGGGCCUCUAGAAGACUGCGUCAAAUUACUAAUCUGCGCAGUCUUGUGGUAGUCGGUCAGAUAUCCUCUGGCUCAAAGAAGUUGGACUUGAUUCAGACCAAGACCCUUCAAAAACUUCUUACAAGGAUGAAGUGCCUGCCCGUGCUGAUGGUCUCCGAACCUCUCCUAGCAGAUCUUCCCGAACUGAAGCACCUCCGUUACCUUGAGAUCCAUGUUGAGGACAAUGAUGGAAAUGCGUCUCUUCCAGAAUCUAUAUGCAAGUUAUAUCAGCUGCAGACAUUGAUCGCAAGGUUCUGUGGCAACAAGUUGUCAAUACCGGAGAAUUUCAACCAAUUAAUCAGCCUGCAGUUCCUGGAAACAGAACCGGAAGCAGUAUGCACAAUUGCUGAUAUUGGGAAGUUGACUUCCCUGCAAGAAAUCAAUACCUUUGAGGUUGGCAAUAAUGAUAAAUUUGGCAUUAGUCAACUGGAAAAUAUGGACCAGGUCCAUGGUAAUCUUUGCAUCAAAGGUCUUGAGAUAGUAGAGAACAAGAAUGAGGCUUUGAAAGCAAAGCUAUGCAAAAAGGAGUAUAUCGGAACAUUAGAUCUGUGCUGGAACAUUGGGAGCAAGGAGAGAACUAAGUCCAUGAUGACUGCACACUAUGAAGUGCUGGAAGGACUUCAGCCACAUUGCAAUCUUAGCAAGCUCAUAAUAAAUGGCUACACAGGCAUCAAACCCCCAAACUGGCUGAAGGGGGCCCAGGCCCAGGAGCUAAAUCUGAAGUGCAUCGAGCUCUCGAAUUGCAGUGGCUGGGAGGACCUUCCACCUUUUGGCAUUCUACCAUACCUCAAGGUCUUGUAUAUAAGGCAGAUGAGAUCUCUGCGGCGAAUCGAGAAAGAGAUAUAUGGCCAAGACAUCCCAUCUGGAUUUCCACAGCUGCAUGAGCUCUUGCUUGAAGACCUCUGUAAUUUAGAGGAAUGGUCCUUGCCAAGCAGAGACACCCAGGUAUUUCCCAAGCUUCGCAGGCUGUCCAUAACCAAUUGUGACAACCUGAAGGAACCCGAAGACCUUCCAUAUUUAUUAAAGAAAUUGGAAUCUUUGGCCAUCAAGAACUGUCCCAACAUCGAUAAAGAGUAUAUCCGUCCCUCUAUGACUAGGCCUGUCUAUUGUCAAAAACCUGCAUCCCAGAAACGGAAAGUUGCUGACAAAUCCAUGAGAAAUAUUCGCCAGAAAAGGGCAGAUGUCAAGACAGAUGAAAAGCUUUAA